CUACGGGCUGCAGCAGUGGGGAAUAUUGCACAAUGGGCGCAAGCCUGAUGCAGCCAUGCCGCGUGUAUGAAGAAGGCCUUCGGGCUGUAAAGUACUUUCAGCGGGGAGGAAGGGAGUAAAGUUAAUACCUUUGCUCAUUGACGUUACCCGCAGAAGAAGCACCGGCUAACUCCGUGCCAGCAGCCGCGGUAAUACGGAGGGUGCAAGCGUUAAGCGGAAUUACUGGGCGUAAAGCGCACGCAGGCGGUUUGUUAAGUCAGAUGUGAAAUCCCCGGGCUCAACCUGGGAACUGCAUCUGAUACUGGCAAGCUUGAGUCUCGUAGAGGGGGGUAGAAUUCCAGGUGUAGCGGUGAAAUGCGUAGAGAUCUGGAGGAAUACCGGUGGCGAAGGCGGCCCCCUGGACGAAGACUGACGCUCAGGUGCGAAAGCGUGGGGAGCAAACAGGAUUAGAUACCCGGGUAGUC
rnacentral:rRNA from 1 species